ensembl:miRNA
GAGGUGGGAGGAUUGCUUGAGCUCAAGAGGUUGAGGCUUCAGUGAGCUAUGUUCAUACCACUGCACUCCAGCCUGAGUGACAGAGUAAGACUCUGUCUC